AUACGGAGGGUGCAAGCGUUGUUCGGAAUCACUGGGCGUAAAGGGCGCGCAGGCGGUUUGGUAGGUCAGAUGUGAAAGCCCACGGCUCAACCGUGGAAGUGCAUUUGAAACUGUCAGACUUGAGUACUGGAGGGGAAAGUGGAAUUCCCGGUGUAGAGGUGAAAUUCGUAGAUAUCGGGAGGAAUACCGGUGGCGAAGGCGACUUUCUGGCUAGAUACUGACGCUGAGGCGCGAAAGCGUGGGGAGCAAACAGGAUUAGAUACCCCAGUAGUCC
rnacentral:rRNA from 1 species